rnacentral:rRNA from 1 species
GAUGAACGCUGACAGAAUGCUUAACACAUGCAAGUCAACUUGGACUUCGGUUUGGGUGGCGGACGGGUGAGUAACGCGUAAAGAACUUGCCUCACAGAUAGGGACAACAUUUGGAAACGAAUGCUAAUACCUGAUAUUAUGAUUUUAGGGCAUCCUAGAAUUAUGAAAGCUAUAUGCGCUGUGAGAGAGCUUUGCGUCCCAUUAGCUAGUUGGAGAGGUAACAGCUCACCAAGGCGAUGAUGGGUAGCCGGCCUGAGAGGGUGAACGGCCACAAGGGGACUGAGACACGGCCCUUACUCCUACGGGAGGCAGCAGUGGGGAAUAUUGGACAAUGGACCGAGAGUCUGAUCCAGCAAUUCUGUGUGCACGAUGAAGUUUUUCGGAAUGUAAAGUGCUUUCAGUUGGGAAGAAAAAAAUGACGGUACCAACAGAAGAAGUGACGGCUAAAUACGUGCCAGCAGCCGCGGUAAUACGUAUGUCACGAGCGUUAUCCGGAUUUAUUGGGCGUAAAGCGCGUCUAGGUGGUUAUGUAAGUCUGAUGUGAAAAUGCAGGGCUCAACUCUGUAUUGCGUUGGAAACUGUAUAACUAGAGUACUGGAGAGGUAAGCGGAACUACAAGUGUAGAGGUGAAAUUCGUAGAUAUUUGUAGGAAUGCCGAUGGGGAAGCCAGCUUACUGGACAGAUACUGACGCUAAAGCGCGAAAGCGUGGGUAGCAAACAGG